AUUUAAUUCAGGUAAAUUUGUUUGCAGGUUCUUCUUCUCCAUCUUAAUUGAUUCUAUCUUAACAAAAGAUUCAGCGUAUAGCUUCUCCAAUGAUUAACGUAAGAGCAGAAUAAAUCAAGAGUGCCUGCAAAUCUGAAGCUUGUACUCAAUCUAUGCACCACGACCAGUUGUACGCCAUUUUUCUCAGCGUAUAUAUGGUGCACUUAAAUAGAUCGAUGUAUCUCAAGCUUCUAGAAUGGAGUGUGGGGUGUGCAUAAAUUUCCAUCUAAAAUUUUAGCAAGGAACUGCAAAUAUCGGAGAGCAUUGACAACGUUGUGAUUAUGGAUUCUUCUAAUGCAUCAAAUUCAAAUGCCACAAACACUACCUGAUGACUUGAUGUUGGACUCUAAUUAUGGGCUACUUGGUGGAGAUGAUGGAGCUACGGAAGAUUAUGAUAUCUAUGAUGAAUCGAAUGAUUUUGAUUAAAAUUGUAAUGUCCAUGUUUAAUUAUGUUUCCAGAUUGUGAACUUUAAAGUUGUGAAUUCUCCCAUUUUUCCAAUUUGAACUUCAUACGACGACUCUUAUGUUUUGAAUGAACUUGUUUGUUUUUCUAAAA